rnacentral:rRNA from 1 species
CCUACGGGGGGCUGCAGUCGAGAAUCAUUCACAAUGGGGGAAACCCUGAUGGUGCGACGCCGCGUGGGGGAAUGAAGGUCUUCGGAUUGUAAACCCCUGUCAUGUGGGAGCAAAUUAAAAAGAUAGUACCACAAGAGGAAGAGACGGCUAACUCUGGGCCAGCAGCCGCGGUAAUACAGAGGUCUCAAGCGUUGUUCGGAAUCACUGGGCGUAAAGCGUGCGUAGGCUGUUUCGUAAGUCGUGUGUGAAAGGCGCGGGCUCAACCCGCGGACGGCACAUGAUACUGCGAGACUAGAGUAAUGGAGAGGGAAGCGGAAUUCGCGGUGUAGCAGUGAAAUGCGUAGAUAUCGAGAAGAACAC